rnacentral:rRNA from 1 species
AGCGGUGAAAUGCGUAGAGAUCUGGAGGAAUACCGAUGGCGAAGGCAGCUUCCUGGCAUAAUAUUGACACUGAGAUUCGAAAGCGUGGGUAGCAAACAGGAUUAGAUACCCUGGUAGUCCACGCCGUAAACGAUGUCUACUAGCCGUUGGGGUCCUUGAGACUUUAGUGGCGCAGUUAACGCGAUAAGUAGACCGCCUGGGGUCGACGCGGCCGCAAGGUUAAAACUCAAAUGAAUUGACGGGGGCCCGCACAAGCGGUGGAGCAUGUGGUUUAAUUCGAUGCAACGUGAAGAACCUUACCAGGCCUUGACAUGCAGAGAACUUUCCAGAGAUGGAUUGGUGCCUUCGGGAACUCUGACACAGGU